rnacentral:rRNA from 1 species
AGCAGCCGCGGUAAUUCCAGCUCCAAUAGCGUAUAUUAAAGUUGUUGCAGUUAAAAAGCUCGUAGUUGAAUUUCGGGAUUAGUACGCUGGUCGUGCCUUUGGUAUGUACUGGUGUUACUGAUUCCUACCUUCUGACGAACCGUCAUGUCAUUAAUUUGGUGUGGCGGGAAAUCAGGACUGUUACUUUGAAAAAAUUAGAGUGUUUAAAGCAGGCUCGCGCUUGAAUACAUUAGCAUGGAAUAAUGAAAUAGGACGUUCGAUCCUAUUUUGUUGGUUUCUAGGAUUGACGUAAUGAUUAAUAGGGAUAGUUGGGGGCAUUAGUAUUCAAUUGUCAGAGGUGAAAUUCUUGGAUUUAUUGAAGACUAACUACUGCGAAAGCAUUUGCCAAGGAUGUUUUCAUUAAUCAAGAACGAAAGUUAGGGGAUCGAAGACGAUCAGAUACCGUCGUAGUCUUAACCAUAAACUAUGCCGACUAGGGAUCGGAUGAUGUUAAUUUUUAAUGACUCAUUCGGCGCCUUAC